GGGCCGUUAGCUCAGUUGGUUAGAGCAGAGGACUCAUAAUCCUUUGGUCAUAGGUUCAAGUCCUAUACGGCCUACCA
rnacentral:tRNA from 2 species